GGGAUAAAGAGCGUCACAAACUUGUGCAACUUGUCUGAAGGUCCAAAACCUAACAAGUAGAAAUCUUAGGACUAAAAUUGACAUCCUUCAACAUGAAGUCAAAGUAAUUUUUCUGCUAUCGCCAACAUGCCAUCUUGUUCAUAUUCUUAAUUUCAUGAGUAACUGAAUUGAUUGACCUUCUUGUUUCACAGAAUCGCUCUGCUAUUUCAAACAAAUGUCUUGCAAACUUGGGUAAAGCAAGAUAGAGGAAAUCUGAAAUUAUUCUGCAUCUGUCUUUGUUACAUGUGAUAACCAAGGAGAAGAAAACACUGCAGGCCUUACUUCUGCUACCAGUUGUUGAGUUUGAUGUACAAAGGACGACAAGACCAUCCAGUACAAAGACUUGGGGUCCUGACAUAGUCUGGAAGACCUUGGUGCCUGGAACUACCUAUGACAACCUCAUCAACUUUUACGUGAGCAAGUAACUUUGUAUUGUGUUAAGCCAUUUAAAUUGUGAAGCCUAUUUGCUACAGCAGCUA
rnacentral:lncRNA from 1 species